rnacentral:lncRNA from 1 species
CGGCGCGUGGCGGCUGAGCGGCCGCGUUUGGCUCCCGGAGCGCCCACACCCUCUCGGGCUUCCGGCUUUCUCCCGAGGCCCGGCUGCGCCUGGCUUGUGGUAGCAUCCGCUGUGGCCAGGCUCGGAGCUACACUCAGGAAAAGUGGAGUUAAUGGAGGUUCCUAGAGACACUCACACAAUUCUCAAUCCACAUUUCAAAAGGCUCCCCUGAGACGCACCCUGUCGGCCCCUUUCCGAAAGCACGCGAACUUAAGGCUGGCAGGUGCUUUAAAAGACACUCCUCCCAAGGACUAGGAAGCCUCUGAAAUGGGCUUGGAAGUUUCUAAUCCCAAAGACUUCGAACCCAGGAUCUGGAUAGCAAGCAAAAAUAUUUAGAUAUUUACUCAGUUGAAAACGUGGGGGGUGGCUUCGUGGUCUCUUCGCCAGCCAAAUCGCGUGGAAAACCACGACCUCAAUUUUUACAACAGCACGAAGACUUACAAGUGAGCGUAGCAGCGACUUCCUGGAACCUCAAACAAUGUGGGACGCUGCAAUAAUGCCUGAGGGCUUUUGACUUACAGUUGCCGCCGGAGACCUGGGGAGGGGGUAGUACUUGGGCCGGAGCUUUUUGAAAAUACAGAAUCCUGCAAUCUACCCCCUCAAGAUUCUGAUUCCUUUGUCCAGGGAGAGGCCAAGACAUGGCACUUUUAAAAACUAUAUUUAAAAAAAUAUGUUUGGGACAUGCCUACAUGUAAAGGCAGAGUAAAGAAGAUCAGCUGUUUUUGAAGGAGAUUAACACAUAAUUUAAGAAUGUUAUUGAAGACCUAGAGAUUGUAGUCAAUAAUAUGCAAUGCAGUAAGGUGAAGUAAAGUGAAGACCAAGGAAUUUAUGGCCUUUGGAGAGAAGAAAACCCACACAUAAAUGACCCUAGCAUGUGCACCAGUAUGAGUUCUCUGGGAACAGAGAGAGGGUCAAGAAAUUAUGUUGGCUUUGAACAAGUUCUCUUCUCAAUGCUUCACUUUUUUUUUAUCAAUAAAAUGGGAGCCAUUUUCAAUCCUCAUCUUUCUUGGCCUCUCAACAAUACUCAACACUUUGACCACUAUUCUUUCUUAAACAUUUCUUCUUCCUUUGACACUGCAUUUUCUUGGUUUUCCUCCUUAGUUUCCUAGGCACUGCUUCUCUGAUUCCUUUGCAUAUUCCUGCUGGUCUCCCUAACUAUUAAAUAUAACAGUACCUUAAAAUUCAGUUUUAGAUUCUUUUCUGUUUUCAUUGUAAUCUCUUGGCCUAAGCAGCAUCACCCACGCCAAUGGCUUUAGUUAUCAUCUAUAUGCCAGUGAUCUCCACAUAUAUGCCUCCAGCCCAGACCUUUCCUCUAAAUUCCAAAUCUGAUCCACUAGUCAAAGUUUGACCCUACCUCUAAAUUCCAAGCUUCACUGACAUGGCCACUUAAUAUCUCAAAGUUGCAAAGUUUAGUCCAACUGAGUUCAUGAACACUUGUUUUCCUUAUCCCCCAUCUCUCUAGUUAUUCAAAUCAAAUAUCUAGUAGUCAGUAACCGCUGAUGUCUCCCUCACCUCCAUUCUUCCAUUCUCCAUAUUUGUUGCAGCACUAACUCCUGGCAAUUUUAUUUCUAAAAUCUAAUUGGUCUACUUCUUUCCAAUCACCACCAAUCUAAUUCGAUCUCACUGUAUACAAUCUGGGAUCCUCCAUUCAGUCUCCAUUUUGCAGCCAAAAUUAUCCUCUAAGAAAGCAAAUGAGACUAUGUCACUACUCCAAAAAUCUCCUUAAACAGUUUCUCAUUGCUUUAGGAUAAGUCUAGAAUUCUUAAGGCAGCCUAAAAGACCAUACGAGGUCUGGCCUUACCUGCCUUUUCCAGCCUCAUCUCACACCAUUUUCACCUUGUUUCCUGGGCAGACUUCCUGGUCUUCUUUUAGUUUCUCAAAAAUGCUAUGAUCCCAACAACCAAAGGCUCUAUGUACAUGCCAUUCUCUCCUUUAGUUAUCCUAUCUCUUACUCAUCCUUCAGGUCUCAGCUUGAAAGCGACAUCCUUGGGAAAAACAUUUCUGACCUCCCAGAUACAUUCAAGAUACCUUGUUAUGUCAGCUCUCUUACCACCAUAUACCCUCCCCUCUUAUGACUUACCACAGCUUGUAACUACAUUUUGGUAUGUGUAACUACUAGGUUAAUGUCUGUUGCUCCCCACAUUAGGAUAAAGACCAUGUCUAUUUGGGCCUGCACAGUGCCUGGCACAUAGAAGCUACCCAAUAAAUAUUUCUUGAAUGAUUAUUGUCCUAUGAGUUUAUUUCUGGGAUUCUAGAAGGUUGUUAGAUCG